CACCACAGGGAGCAUGUCUCACACCUUGUGCUUUUCCUCCCCAGUUGCUCAGUGCAUCUUUGAGGAAGGAGCUCUGUCCGGAAAGUUCCUCUCCCUGUCCAAAGCCUACGUUCUGGCAGAGAAGUUGCCAUUAGCUUGCUGUGGAGGAGAAAGCAAACGGAAGCAAAUUCCUUUUGGGGGCACUCUUCAUUUCAGAAAGAAGGUCACGGGCCGAUAACUUCAGGGACACCAGACCUGGUUGCAGAGCUACCUGAUGUCAGCUUUGGCCAUGAAUUUGCAGAAGAAAAGAAAUGCAAGAUCUUCACUACUUUGAUCCUUAUCACAUACCCCCGGACUGCAGACUGCGAGCCCCACGUAUAAAAUCUUCUCCGAUUCCCCAAGGAGGGAGGCACAGUUCUUGAGGCGUUAGCCUACUGUGUCUUCCCUUGGCCUGGCAAAGAAAAUAAAAAGCCUCUCUAUUUCUUAUCUUCCAA